ACAGUCAUAUCACAUUGAAACACCGGUUCUCAUCCAAUCACUGAAGUUAAGCAACAUUGAGUCUGGUCAGUAACUGGAUGGGUGACCACUUGGUAUUCUCAAGUGCUGUAAG